rnacentral:rRNA from 1 species
UACGGAGGGUGCAAGCAUUAAUCGGAUUUAUUGGGCGUAAAGGGCGCGUAGGCGGAGAUGUAAGUCAGAUGUGAAAUCCCGGGGCUCACCCCCGGAACCGCAUAUGAAACUGCAUCCCUAGAGGGUAGGCGGAGAAAAUGGAAUUCCACAAGUAGCGGUGAAAUGCGUAGAUAUGUGGAAGAACACCAGUGGCGAAGGCGGUUUUCUAGCUUACUCCUGACGCUGAGGCGCGAAAGCAAGGGGAUCAAACAGG